AAACUAUUCAUAAGUUGGACUUGCUACUUAUACUCUUUCCCAUGGUCAUGAACCAAGCCCAUUUGGCUUAGGCCCAUGCCUCUCACGCCCUUCAAGCCCCAAAACCAAGGUUCUCGCAUCUAAAAACUUACGAUCGGCUAAAUAAUUAUUCGUCGCUCACUAAAAUAAUAAAAGCCAAUUAAUAAAUAAAAUAACAUUUAAUAAAAUAUACG
rnacentral:lncRNA from 1 species